UACGUAGGGGGCAAGCGUUGUCCGGAAUCAUUGGGCGUAAAGAGCGUGUAGGCGGCUUGGUAAGUCCGCUGUGAAAGUCCAGGGCUCAACCCUGGAAAGCCGGUGGAAACUGUCAAGCUUGAGUCCGGAAGAGGCGAGUGGAAUUCCUGGUGUAGCGGUGAAAUGCGCAGAUAUCAGGAGGAACACCAAUGGCGAAGGCAGCCCGCUGGGACGGUACUGACGCUGAGACGCGAAAGCGUGGGGAGCAAACAGG
rnacentral:rRNA from 1 species